rnacentral:rRNA from 1 species
CCGUGGUGGCUGACGACGGUCUACGGACCCCAAGACGACGCUGAUAAAAUCCUAUUCCUCCAAGAGCUGUGCGAUAUACGGGCGGCAUGCCUUGGCCCAUGGAUGCUAUGUGGUGAUUUCAACCUCAUAUACCGCGUUGAGGACAAAAACAUGGGUGGCCUACAUCAGCGCAUGAUGGGAAGGUUUCGCCGCGCCAUUAACGACCUCGCCUUGAAGGAGAUAUAUCUCAACGGGCGUCAGUUCACGUGGUCGAAUGAGCAAUUGCCGCCCACGCUGGUGCACCUUGACCGCGUCCUUUGCACAUCGGACUGGGAAGAUGCGCACGGCGAAUGCCACCUUCGUUGCCUUGCUUCGGUCGUGUCGGACCACUGUCCGCUGCUGCUGGAUUGCUCCCCCAUGCCGGUGGCACACAAACGCUUCCACUUCGAGGACUACUGGCUCCGGUUAGACGGCUUCCACGACAUCGUUGCUACGGCUUGGAGCUCGGUGCAUGACGACGAC